AUGGCUCAGGAUGAACGCUGGCGGCGUAGCUUAACACAUGCAAGUCGAACGGAGUUUUAACGGAAGUUUCGGAUGGAAGUUAAAACUAGUGGCGGACGGGUGAGUAACGCGUGGGUAACCUGCCUCAUACAGGGGGAUAACAGUUAGAAAUGACUGCUAACACCGCAUAAUAUAGCGAAACCGCAUGAUUUUGCUAUCAAAUAUUUAUAGGUAUGAGAUGGGCCCGCGUCUGAUUAGCUAGUUGGUGGGGUAAAAGCCUACCAAGGCGACGAUCAGUAGCCGGCUUGAGAGAGUGACCGGCCACAUUGGGACUGAGACACGGCCCAAACUCCUACGGGAGGCAGCAGUGGGGAAUAUUGGACAAUGGGGGAAACCCUGAUCCAGCGACGCCCGCGUGAGUGAAGAAGUAUUUCGGUAUGUAAAGCUCUAUCAGCAGGGAAGAUAAUGACAGUACCUGACUAAGAAGCCCCGGCUAACUACGUGCCAGCAGCAGC
rnacentral:rRNA from 1 species